rnacentral:lncRNA from 1 species
GUAGAACUCCUCCACCUGAGCUUUUCUGAGCAGGCCGCCGGUGCUUCCGGCGAAGAUUGGAGAUGGGGUGUUGGGGUCGAGUUCAGGUGGGGUGAAUCCCACCGGAGCUUCUUUGGUGGGGACUUCCCCUGCCGCCGCGGCCUUGAUGGUGGUGAAUCGGGUGGUGGGUUUGGUUGGUUUGACGGUGGUGAAGGAGGUGAGUUGUGAUUGUUUCCAUGGAGAGGUUUGAGUGGGGAUUGUAGGUGCGAAAAAGGAAGCUUGGGUAGCCAUGGCCAUCGGUGGUGGUGGGUGAUUUGAAUCAAGAAGACGAAGAAUUUUGUGAAGUUGGGUGGCGAUGGUGGUGGGUUUUAGAUGUAGGUGGUACCGGUGGUGG